UAGGGUUCGGGUGGUCCAGGAGUGGCUCU
rnacentral:piRNA from 1 species